AGUACCUAUCUCACAGGUUGCUGUGAGGCUUAAGUGAAUUCAUACAUAAAAGUGCUUAGAGCAGUGCCUGGCACGUGGAAAGAGCUCAGUACGGUCAUCCUUGAUCAUAAGGAGGAUGACUAUAUUGACUUUGGAGAACUUGUGCUCAGGGAUGAAGGUCAAGGUAGGAUCCAGGAGAUAUUUGCAGAGACAUGUGAGUUGGUUCUGUUCUACUACAGCUACCAGUGCCAACUGAAGUCAUCCCACCGUCAUUUAUAACACCUAGAAAGUGUGAGUCGACAGGUAUGCUCUCCAAUAUGGUGGCCAUGUGGUUACUGAGCCCCUGAAAUGUGAC
rnacentral:lncRNA from 10 species